ensembl:lncRNA
GGGGGAAUGCGCGUGCACAGACACGAUCAUGCGUGGGUGACUAGGCUGGCUCUCACAGGAUGGAGGGGGAGAGUCCACGUGGCCAUCUGCAGCUGGACACUGAGGACACUGCAGCUGCCCAGCCACGAAGCCGCAACCACAGAAUGAGAGAUGAGGCCCAGAGCCCCCUGGAGAGUCGCCGCUCCGAGGCCACCCGAAGGCUGAGGAUGCUGGGGUCUGAAGGCCACGGGCAAUGGCGGCUGCAGUGACAAAUCUGAUUGGGGCUUAUUGUCACUCACCACUGGCAAACGUGUCAUUAAAUUUCUCUUAAUCCCUGUGUGCCGCCCUUGGGACUGCGGGCCGGAGGGUGUCCCUGUCCGGCUUUGCCUCGUUGUCCACCGACCUGCAAGCCAUGAACCACACACGCAGAGUCCUGGCUCCUGGGCAUCAUUUCUGACUCCCUGCACCCAGUCACUGACCCCUGGUGGAGCACAGGGGACACGCAGGGCCUCAGGGGGCCUGGAAGCCCGUGCCUAUGGCAUCAGAGCCCCGCCGCCUGCCCCUUGUCCCUGCCCCUUGUCCCUGCUGAGAUGGCGCUGGCUGCUGGGGUUUGUGGACACCUUCUGUCAUCACACACGCACUUGUGUGGUGGCUGCACAGUCACAGCGUCUGUGAGCCUCGGACAGUUAUCUUUGAUGCCGGCUCCAGCUUUGUCCCCUGUGUGUGCUGGGCUCAACGUGAGAAACAGUUCUUGUCCCGGCCGAGUGACUCUGACUGUCAUGCUCUGAGCUGUCUCUGCGGUCCUGUGUGUGACUCCCUGACUGCGAGCUGGCAGGGUGAGGGUGGUGAGCCUGCCAGGGGGCCCUCUGCCCCAGAGCCUGGUCCUGGGCAAGCCCUCUGCCAGGGGCCUCGCAGCUUCAGUCAGGGACCGUGAGCGCCGGCAGCAGUGGGUGCUGAGCCUGCCCGGCAGGAGGACCAUGCCCAGGGCUUCCACCGAGACAUCCUCACCUCUUUCCUGCCCACCUGCUCCCCUCCACCUGGCUCGGAGCACUGGCUCAGUGUCCUUGUCCCAGGUCUGCCUUCGGACCAGGCUGCCUCCAAUCCACAACCAUCUCAUUCCCACCAGCCGUGUCCAACCUGCGGCCCACGGCCACUUCUUUUUAAUGUUAUAAAAAAUAAAAAUUUUGUUACUUAUAUACAUGGACUUUAUUAUACAUUCCUUCUGUGGUCAACUUGUAAGCCCAGCUGAACUGAAUCAGCGUGGUCUGGGUGUGGAGGACCCACCUGAGGAUUGUUGCCAAUAGCCAUAAAGAGAACUGGAGGGGAAGUUCGUGGGCUGUUGAUUUUCUAUAAGAAGCUUCCUGUGGAUGGUUUUCCUGAUGCGAACUUGGCUGUUCUUGUCCUCGUCGGAGCUCGGGGCCUCGCUGUUGCUGGGAAUGGCUGCUGUUCUAGUCAGGGGAGCUCCAAUCUUCACUGUGAACAUUGCUUCCUGGGCUCCAGUGUAGAUCCCUCAGCCUGGUGGCACAAAUCCUUCACCCCACCGGCACCGGCUUCCUGGCUUCCACCACUGGCCUUUGGGCCUUCCAGGUGCAGAUCCUCCAUACAGA